GGACUACCCGGGUAUCUAAUCCUGUUUGAUCCCCUUGCUUUCGCGCCUCAGCGUCAGGUAUAAGCUAGAAAACCGCCUUCGCCACAGGUGUUCUUCCACAUAUCUACGCAUUUCACCGCUACUUGUGGAAUUCCGUUUUCUCCGCCUACCCUCAAGAAAAAUAGUUUCAGAUGCUGUUCCGGGGUUGAGCCCCGGGAUUUCACGUCCGACUUAUUCUCCCGCCUACGCGCCCUUUACGCCCAAUAAAUCCGAUUAAUGCUUGCACCCUCCGUAUUACCGCGGCUGCUGGCAC
rnacentral:rRNA from 1 species